AUUGAACGCUGGCGGCAUGCUUUACACAUGCAAGUCGAGCGGCAGCGCGGGGGCAACCCUGGCGGCGAGCGGCGAACGGGUGAGUAAUGCAUCGGAACGUAUCCUCGAGUGGGGGAUAACCCAGCGAAAGUGGGGCUAAUACCGCAUGAGCUCUGAGGAGGAAAGCGGGGGACCUGCGAGGGCCUCGCGCUGGAGGAGCGGCCGAUGUCCGAUUAGCUAGUUGGUGGGGUAAAGGCUUACCAAGGCGACGAUCGGUAGCUGGUCUGAGAGGAUGAUCAGCCACACUGGGACUGAGACACGGCCCAGACUCCUACGGGAGGCAGCAGUGGGGAAUGUUGGACAAUGGGGGCAAGCCUGAUCCAGCCAUGCCGCGUGAGUGAAGAAGGUCUUCGGGUUGUAAAGCUCUUUCGGACGGAACGAAAUGGAGGGGACUAAUACUCCGGUCUGAUGACGGUACCGUAAGAAGAAGCACCGGCUAACUACGUG
rnacentral:rRNA from 1 species